rnacentral:lncRNA from 1 species
UUCACAAACCAGCUUAGCAAGCGGGAGGUGGGAUUUGUCGAGGAGGUCGCGAAUGAUGAAGGGAGGUGGAUUUAUCAAGCAUAGGCUGCAUGCGCCGGAGCUGAUCAAGAUCUCCCAGCAACUUCUCCAACUACUUUGAGAGCUUCAGCUCCAAUAUCUCGGGUGAGCUUGGCCGGUUGGCCUCAAUCAUGCAAGGCUCGACACUAGAUCCGGAGGAUUGAGGUCCAGAGCUAGAAUUAGGUUAGGGUUGUGGGAUUCUUCGUGUGAGAUGUUGGAGGUGACGGCUGCAAAGAGGGGAGGCAGCGGCGCAGUUACGGUUACUGGCGGAGCAACUGGACGUAGGAGGUCUAGAGACUGGAGCUGUAAGUGUCGACUAGGGUUGGAGACUUGGAAUGUCGGACUUUAGGGUUUAGAUCAACAACCUUUUAUAUUUAGUUUUUUCUCGUAAAUAUAUUAUUUUUAAGGGGUAUUUAAAAAUAUAUAAAGCAGUUUUAGGGCGGAUAAUGGUAGGGCAGAUUCAGGACGAAUCAAGUUUUUCCUCAAUUCCUGCCCCAAAUCAGCCUCGGAUCAUAAAAACUACCCUGUUUAUUACCCUGAAUCCAUUUAUUUUCCCCCGUUUACUGCCCUAUUCAGAGCGGAUAGGGGCGGGAGCUCCACCAACCCAGAUCCACUUGCAUCCCUAUUCACAAGACCACAACCAUGAGUACAUCAAUCUGACUCAACUGACUAAACCUAAUUGCAAAGAAACUUCGUUCUAACAAUUGAUAGAUCCACUUGGUUGUUCUAUCACUAGAUGGUUGAACAUAACAAAAUAGCACGACUUUACCACAGCAACUUCUACUAGAUCAUUCUCAAGGAAGAAGUACGUACAACCCUAACUUCAUAAUGCAGCAAAGGAUGGAUACUAAAUAUUAGAAAAACCAAUACCUUCAGUUGCAUUUCCUCAAGAGGAAAUGACAGCAACAAGCAUCAGGACCCAGCCUCCGUCACUGUAAUCAAUUUUAUUAGGAAAGAGUUGAUAAAUAUGAUAAGGCAAAAGACAUAACAUCAACUCAAGAGUCUUCCUCUUGGUAUUUAACCCAAUCUGGAUACUCUUGAAAGGUCCAUAUCAAUGCAAAAGCAUAAAGCAUUGAGUGGACUCUUUAGUUAAAACAACAUUCUGUUAAGAUACAUUUUGCUUUUACAUAACAAAAGUGAGAAGAUCAUGAUGUACUCCGUGAAUAUAGAAGGCCAAACUGUUGAGAUGUGAAAGGAUAGUAAAUACGGUCAGUAAAAAGCUAAGCAAAAUGCAAUUUGAUAUAGCACACCUAAUAAGGACCACAACAUAAAAUGCCAAUUUCCAUAAAUUAUGUAUGUUUUGAGGGAAAUCUCUUUAGUCCACCCUGUAGAAAUGACGCCUCAUUUUUGUUGAUGCCAUUUUUUGGUUCUAUAUAGAGAAAAAAAAGCUAUGCAAUUGGAUGUGCCAGCGGAUGGACUUGUCUACAUUUGUCAUCAUUAGCUAGCUUACAAUGCAACAUUGUUGAAUGUUGGAAGACAUCUUUACACCGUUAAAUUCACAAACGCAUCACAUCGGCCAUUAAAAUUGUCAAUUUUGAGACCUUUGAUCACUAGCCAAAUAAUGUCGAAAAAUUAUGAAAUUUAAUUUUCAAAUACUUUCAAUAGUGUAGAUCAAGUCUAACAGAGCCAAUCGUCGAUUUGGAAGCCACAUCAUCGAAAACAACUUGGUAGCACGGAGGCCUCCUUGCUACC